rnacentral:lncRNA from 1 species
AUCUUUCUUUAAUCUGAUAAGCUCUCACCUCCACCAAGUGGCAUCAAACCUAAGCCAGAAGCCAUCUAAUGGGUGUGAGAGGAGAUAAAGGGGCACCAACCUUUCUGCUUAAAGCAAAAGGACUCUUGGCUCUAACCUCAGAGAAUUAUUCAUUGUGACUCUUCAUUUUAGAUCAGCUUCACACUACCCAAGGGGCAUAAACAUAAUCCAAGCUUAUCCAAGGCAUGGAAGGGGGAGAGAG